rnacentral:rRNA from 1 species
GACGAACGCUGGCGGCGUGCUUAACACAUGCAAGUCGAACGGAAAGGCCCUGCUCUUGUUGGGUUCUCGAUUGCGGAACGCGUGAGUAUCACGCGUGUAUCCUGCCCUUGACUUUGUGAUAAAUUCACGAAACUCGGGCUCAUAUCGGAUAGGAUCUCCUGCUCCGUGGGGGGCGUUGGAAAGUUUCGGCGGUAGGGGAUGGACUCGCGGCUUAUCGGCUUGUUGGUGGGGUAGUUGCUUACCAAGGCUUUGACGGGUAGCCGGCCUGGGAGAGGGACCGGCGACAAGAGGACUGAGGUACGGACCAGACUGCUACGGGAGGCAGCAGUGGAGAGUAUUGCAGAGUGGGCGGAAGCGUGAGGCAGAAGCGCCGCGUGCGGGAUGACGGGCUUCGGGUUGUAAACCGAUUUCGCCGGUGACGAAGCGUGAGUGACGGUAAUGAGUAAAGAAGCAACGGCUAACUACGUG